AUCCCUAACAGUUGUUCUAGCUCAUAACUAAUAAGCUCAUAACACUCAAAUGUCGUUUUGUAGUUGAGCAAACUAUAAAGUAUUGAGCUCUGUUGGCUUUUAUGCAACUUUAAUUGAAUAGGGCUCAAUAUUUUUUAGCUAAUUUGUUUGGAACGCUCAAAAAGUUUAAGAAGCAUAUAUUAGUGACGUUCUGGUGGGUGGAGUCUUAUCGCUCCCUCAGGAAAGCUGAGUCAGCCAUCUUGGAUUUACCUUGGUGCGGGGAAGAUUUGGCCAGCCCGUGUGGAUUAAGAGUCCCCAACUUCAACCCACCACGACCACCACCUUAAUUUUUUUCAUCAACUGCCCUAAAUUUGUUUAGAGGGGUAUUCCACUAAGCGAGCUCUACAAGUCAAGGCUGGGCAGUGGGUCCAUGAAUAAACUGCCUCACUCCUGCAGGUGUCUUUCCAUACUUCCCAUCGUUCAAGAACCAAAAGAUGGCUGCUGCCCAGAAGCAUGUGCUGCGUGUGUAUGUUGAACGAGACACCGCCCUGAAACUUACUCUACUUGAGCGACCAAAGUCAGUGGAGGAGCUGAAAGAAAUAAUUCAAGAGAGGUUCAAGCCAAGACUGAAUGGGGACUUUAGCCUUCACUCUGUCCUCAUGGACACAACCUAUGCCCUAUGUCGCCAAGAAAUUGUUGGAGCUCCACGAGU